rnacentral:rRNA from 1 species
GACGAACGCUGGCGGCGUGCUUAACACAUGCAAGUCGAACGAGUGGCGAACGGGUGAGUAAUACGUGGGUAACCUGCCCUCUUUUUGGGAUAAGCCUUGGAAACGGGGUCUAAUACCGAAUAAGGGGGGUGGGCUCGCGGCCUAUCAGCUUGUUGGUGGGGUGAUGGCCUACCAAGGCGGUGACGGGUAGCCGGCCUGAGAGGGUGACCGGCCACGAGGGGAGGGAGAGACGGCCCAGGCGGGUACGGGAGGCAGAAGUGGGGCAUAGUGCACAAUGGGCGAAAACCUGAGGCGGGGACGCGGCGUAGGGGAUGAAGGUGUAAGGGUUGUAAACCUGUUAGGCUAUCGAUCGGGUAGGUGGAGAAGAAGCGCCGGCUAACUACGUGCCAGCAGCCGCGGUAAUAC